UUCCUCAGAUGUUUUGAAAGAUCACACAGACCAAACUUUAGGAAGCUGGUCAGCUCCUCACAUAGGGCAGUCGCCCAAAUUCUCAGAAGCCUUGAUGGAUCUCUUGCUCAGCAAUUGGCCUUGGGAAAAUAUACACUUCACGACCUGUGGAGUUACUGUGUCUUGGAAAGGGAUCUAGAAAAAUUGGAUUUGGACUGUAUUCCUCAUAACAGGAAUUAAAAUAAAGGGUUCUACAUCAGGACGCCCGAGGCCCUGGAUGAUGCAUACAGCAAAAGUACAUUGGGAGUCCUGUCUGUUCAAUAUCUACAGCACCAUUGCACUUUAU